rnacentral:rRNA from 1 species
GGGAACUUGCCUUUGCGAGGGGGAUAACAGUUGGAAACGACUGCUAAUACCGCAUAAUGUCUUCGGACCAAACGGGGCUUCGGCUCCGGCGCAAAGAGAGGCCCAAGUGAGAUUAGCUAGUUGGUAAGGUAACGGCUUACCAAGGCGACGAUCUCUAGCUGUUCUGAGAGGAAGAUCAGCCACACUGGGACUGAGACACGGCCCAGACUCCUACGGGAGGCAGCAGUGGGGAAUAUUGCACAAUGGGGGAAACCCUGAUGCAGCCAUGCCGCGUGUGUGAAGAAGGCCUUCGGGUUGUAAAGCACUUUCAGUUGUGAGGAAAAGUUAGUAGUUAUACCUGCUAGCCGUGACGUUAACAACAGAAGAAGCACCGGCUAACUCCGUGCCAGCAGCCGCGGUAAUACGGAGGGUGCGAGCGUUAAUCGGAAUUACUGGGCGUAAAGCGCACGCAGGCGGUUUGUUAAGCUAGAUGUGAAAGCCCCGGGCUCAACCUGGGAUGGUCAUUUAGAACUGGCAGACUAGAGUCUUGGAGAGGGGAGUGGAAUUCCAGGUGUAGCGGUGAAAUGCGUAGAUAUCUGGAGGAACAUCAGUGGCGAAGGCGACUCCCUGGCCAAAGACUGACGCUCAUGUGCGAAAGUGUGCGUAGCGAACAGGAUUAGAUACCCUGGUAGUCCACACCGUAAACGCUGUCUACUAGCUGUGUGU